rnacentral:SRP_RNA from 1 species
GCAGGCUAGGCAGGGAGGUUAGCCCUCUCCUGUUACCGUUAACGGGCUUCAAACGGUGUCGAAGUCUGAGAAGCAGCAUACAUCCUGUAUGUGAGUCUUGUGCUGGACGUUGAGGUUCUGUCCGGCAGGAUUGUGUCUGCAGGAAUCUGGCCAGGACCUGACGGUAGCAACCAUAACUGUAGUUCUCAAUGCUUGUCGGGUUGCGGAGCUGAGAAAGGCAUAAGGUCAACUCUUAUGCAGUUGUGUGCUCAUUCUUGGGCACGC